rnacentral:lncRNA from 1 species
AAGGAACUUUAGAAGUUUUCCAGCGUGUUCCCCUCAGACCCACAGCCUCCCGAGCCUCAGCCAUCACCAUGUAAAUGCUAAUGAAUGACAAGCGCCACAGAGGACUUUCAUCUUACCAUUUGAAGAGGAAGUUGGCUCUGGACAUGGAACAAGGAUGGUUUCUGCCUUGCUUUGACACAACUAAUGGAGGCCACUGAAAUAAUCUUUCCCACUAGGAAGGCUGUCACAAGGAAAGAAAGAAUGAAGGUCCGCAACCAACACCAAGCUCUGAGAAGUUGACUUGGAUGAUGUUCUACCCAGCUCUCAUCUAAAGGAGUAGAGUCCCCAAGCCAGAGGAAGCUGUCAGAGAGCUUCUCAGCUGUGAAGAUUCUAUGAGGUCCCAAAGGUUAAUGAUGCCAGUUACAGAAGCUUGACAGAGCAAAAGGGGAAGGAUGUGUCACUUGGCUGUGUGGCUGGCUGAUCUUAGGGAAUGAGAAAGCAAAUGUGAUGGAGGUGACCAAGGGGUGACAAUGCUUCACCACCAUCAUGAAGAGCAUACAGGGGACUGGGGGUCAGAGGGAAGUGAGGAUAGGGAAGUAGGGAGUGUGCUUGGUUUGGAAAAUGUAGAUUAUUGAUGCACCCUUGAGCUGUUUAGACAGAGGUGGCCAAAGACAGCUGGAGGAUGGUGACUUCAUAUUAGGAUUCAGGGCUGCCACACCACUCAGCUUCAGGAGUUACCUGUCCUCUUGUUUUCCAUGUGCCUAGUGCUUCUCAGAGUUGUGUAGUGUGGUGGCCUUGGGAAAGGGUCACUACUAAUAGUUUCAAGAAGCCUGAAAAUCAAUGCAACACAUCUACCUGCAUUCAGAAAAAAUAUCUCCUACUUUUGCUUGACUGAUGUAGGUCAAUAUAACACCCCUGCGGAACUCACAUCUCCACACAGGUAUGUGGACUAUGGUCACGCUCUUUCAUGGUACAUUAGCUGUACAUACACAGCCACACUGUCAGUUUCAGGACGGAGGUGGAAUACUCCAUCCUGUUUGGACAUCCCUUGCCCUCACAGCUCUGAAAGACUGCUGUUGCAACAUCUGCCCAGGUGUGUGUCAGCCUACCUAUGGGAACCUGAACCCCAAAGUCCUCUUGAGUGUGGUUAGUUCCUAUCAGCUCCAUUCCUAUCACUCCACAUCCCUUUCAUGUUUCUUUCCUGGAUAUAUUUUCCUUUAUAUUAUUCAAGAAACAUUAAAUAAAAGUU